GUCGAGCCCUUCUGCCCGGACACUCGUGAUGCGGCGCCAGUUCUCACUGCCACUGGGUGCCUGGUUUCUAGAAAAACCAAUCAGCUUCUCCGCGGAUCCCGGUUAUGAAGUCUCCCACAGACCCGCCUGGACUCUGCUUCUCCCCAGACCCAGAGGACGCGAGUCAUGGGGCCGCGAACCCUCCUCCUGCUGCUCUCGGGGGUCCUGGUCCUGACCGAGACCCGGGCUGGCUCCCACUCCCUGAGGUAUUUCGGCACCGCCGUGUCCCGGCCCGGCCUCGGGGAGCCCCGCUUCAUCAUCGUCGGCUACGUGGACGACACGCAGUUCGUGCGGUUCGACAGCGACGCCCCGGAUCCGAGGAUGGAGCCGCGCGCGCGGUGGAUAGAGCAGGAGGGGCCGGAGUAUUGGGAUCAGGAGACGCGGUCAGCCAAGGACGCCGCACAGACUUUCCGAGUGAACCUGAACACCCUGCGCGGCUACUACAACCAGAGCGAGGCCGGGUCUCACACCGUUCAGGAGAUGUGCGGCUGCGACGUGGGGCCGGACGGGCGUUUUCUCCGCGGGUAUGAGCAGCACGGCUACGAUGGCAGAGAUUACCUCGCCCUGAACGAGGACCUGCGCUCCUGGACCGCGGCGGACAUGGCGGCUCAAAUCACCAAACGCAAGAUUGAGGCGGCAGGUGGUGCGGAGGGACACAGGAACUCCCUGGUGGGCGAGUGCGUGGAGUGGCUCCGCAGAUACCUGGAGACCGGGAAGGACACGCUGCUGCGCGCAGACCCUCCAAAGGCACAUGUGACCCAUCACCCCAUCUCUGAGCGUGAGGUCACCCUGAGGUGCUGGGCCCUGGGCUUCUAUCCUAAGGAGAUCUCACUAACCUGGCAGCGCAAUGAGGAGGACCAGACCCAGGACAUGGAUCUUGUGCAGACCAGGCCUUCAGGGGAUGGAACCUUCCAGAAGUGGGCGGCCCUGGUGGUGCCUUCUGGAGAGGAGCAGAGAUACACGUGCCAUGUGCCAGCACGAGGGGCUUCAGGAGCCCCUCACCCUGAGAUGGGAACCUCCUCAGCCCUCCAUCCCCAUCAUGGGCAUCAUUCUUGUCCUGGUUCUCCUCUUGGUGGCUUUGGUGGCUGGAGCUGUGAUUUGGAGGAAGAAAACGCUCAGGUGAAAAAGGACAGACCUACACCCAGGCUUCAAGCAGUGACAGUGCCCAGGGCUCUGAUGUGUCUCUCACGGUUCCUAAAGUGUGAGACAGCUUCCUUGUGGGGACUGAGUGAUGCCCGGUCCGCUUUGUGAUAUCAGAUCCCCGGACUGCUCUUUUGGCAGCUGCAUCUGAAGGUGUCUGUGCCAGCUGCAUCUGAAGGUGUCUACACUAUUAGCAUAACGUGAAGCUGUCUUUGCUUCAUAUGCACUGAGUAAUAAUGUCUUAUUUCCUUUUUGAAGAUAAAAUCUGUAUAUAUGAAUUUGUUUUUUCUAAUUGAUGCCGUGAAGAGGGAUUGGAUAAUAAAGAUGAGGUUUCGUAAAGUUUGAAAGAGGAAAUAAACUGAAACACUGAGAACCUUC